GACGAACGCUGGUGGCGUGCCUAAUACAUGCAAGUCGAGCGAGACUCUUCGGAGUCUAGCGGCGGACGGGUGAGUAACACGUGGGCAACCUGCCUGUAAGACUGGGAUAACACCGGGAAACCGGUGCUAAUACCGGAUAAUCCUUUCCUUCACAUGACGGGAAGCUGAAAGACGGUUUCGGCUGUCACUUACAGAUGGGCCCGCGGCGCAUUAGCUAGUUGGUGAGGUAACGGCUCACCAAGGCAACGAUGCGUAGCCGACCUGAGAGGGUGAUCGGCCACACUGGGACUGAGACACGGCCCAGACUCCUACGGGAGGCAGCAGUAGGGAAUCUUCCGCAAUGGACGAAAGUCUGACGGAGCAACGCCGCGUGAGCGGUGAAGGCCUUCGGGUCGUAAAGCUCUGUUGUCAGGGAAGAACAAGUACCGGAGUAACUGCCGGUACCUUGACGGUACCUGACCAGAAAGCCACGGCUAACUACGUGCCAGCCGCCGCGGUAACAC
rnacentral:rRNA from 1 species